rnacentral:rRNA from 1 species
UACGGGGGGGGCAAGCGUUGUUCGGAAUUACUGGGCGUAAAGGGCUCGUAGGCGGCCAACUAAGUCAGACGUGAAAUCCCUCGGCUUAACCGGGGAACUGCGUCUGAUACUGGUUGGCUUGAAUCCGGGAGAGGGAUGUGGAAUUCCAGGUGUAGCGGUGAAAUGCGUAGAUAUCUGGAGGAACACCGGUGGCGAAGGCGGCAUCCUGGACCGGUAUUGACGCUGAGGAGCGAAAGCCAGGGGAGCAAAGCGGGAUUAAGAAACCCCGAGUACGCUACGA